GUAAUACUUCCUUCGUCUUAAAAUUUUUGUCUUAUAUUUUUUUAGAUACAGAUGUAUCUAGUCAAGUUUUAGUAUUUAGAUACCUUCAUUUUUAAAUAAAGCAAAGACAAGAAUUUUGAAACGGAGGGAGUACUCC
rnacentral:pre_miRNA from 1 species